rnacentral:rRNA from 1 species
UGGGGAAUAUUGGACAAUGGGCGAAAGCCUGAUCCAGCCAUGCCGCGUGUGUGAAGAAGGCCUUUUGGUUGUAAAGCACUUUAAGUGGGGAGGAAAAGCUUAUGGUUAAUACCCAUAAGCCCUGACGUUACCCACAGAAUAAGCACCGGCUAACUCUGUGCCAGCAGCCGCGGUAAUACAGAGGGUGCAAGCGUUAAUCGAAAUUACUGGGCGUAAAGCGCGCGUAGGUGGUUAUUUAAGUCAGAUGUGAAAGCCCCGGGCUUAACCUGGGAACUGCAUCUGAUACUGGAUAACUAGAGUAGGUGAGAGGGGAGUAGAAUUCCAGGUGUAGCGGUGAAAUGCGUAGAGAUCUGGAGGAAUACCGAUGGCGAAGGCAGCUCCCUGGCAUCAUACUGACACUGAGGUGCGAAAGCGUGGGUAGCAAACAGGAUUAGAUACCCUGGUAGUCCACGCCGUAAACGAUGUCUACCAGUCGUUGGGUCUUUUAAAGACUUAGUGACGCAGUUAACGCAAUAAGUAGACCGCCUGGGGAGUACGGCCGCAAGGUUA